CAGUCGCCGCGGGAAUACGGAGGGUGCAAGCGUUAAUCGGAAUUACUGGGCGUAAAGCGCACGCAGGCGGUCUGACAAGUCAGAUGUGAAAUCCCCGGGCUUAACCUGGGAACUGCAUUUGAAACUGUCAGGCUGGAGUCUUGUAGAGGGGGGUGGAAUUCCAGGUGUAGCGGUGAAAUGCGUAGAGAUCUGGAGGAAUACCGGUGGCGAAGGCGGCCCCCUGGACAAAGACUGACGCUCAGGUGCGAAAGCGUGGGGAGCAAACAGGAUUAGAUACCCUUGUAGUCCCUGUCUCUUAUAC
rnacentral:rRNA from 1 species